GACAGCGCGCUGCGUGCGGACACCCCACCACCACCACGAUGGCGGCCUGGGCUUCGGCUGCAGCCGCAAACUCGCCCCUUUGUUCCGCAGGAACUAUGGGACUAAAACUUGUGUUGCUGUUGCCACUACACAAAAUGUCCUCUAUGAUCAUGAAAAUGUCCACAUAUGAAGAAGAGUACUCCAUAGAUAAGACUGGAUUUUCUUAGAUUUGAUGAAUCUGCUUUAUUCUAAAGGUUUAUAGCAGCUGGAAUUCAGGCAGAAGCUGGGAUGGAUUUGGCCUGUGGUCUCUAGUUUCUUAUUCCUGACUUACAUGAAGCAGGAGGAAUGCCUUGAAUUGUGAUAUGAGGGCUUCAAGCCCUUGGCCUGAAAAGUCCCUUUUUACAAAAGCAGAGGUAAAGAAGACAUUGCCAGAUCUUGAUUUGUAAAGCUCUUAAGAUUUGACAAGUUCUGUCCAACAGUAAUCUGAUAAAAGUUUGAAGAGGACUCUGAGCUGUGAAUGAAACUCUGGCUAAAUUAUCGGAGAACAACAUUUGAAAGCCAUCUGAUAUUUGAGGGAUUCAUAAUAACUUGGGGCUUCUGAGGAUUGGAACAUCUAGUCCUUGAAACUAGUGAAAAGAAUAUGUGCUUCAGUGUGUUUCUACUGUCCUUAAUUAUUGGUGUUGGUAUUAACCUUUAAAACCCUGUAUGGUUUCGUUGGUGUCCUUAAUUAUUGGUGUCCUUAAUUAUUGGUGUCCUUAAUUAUUGGUGUUGGUAUUAACCUUUAAACCCUGUACGGUUUCGGCCCAGCUUACCUGAAAGAGCGCUUCCACCGCCACCAAUUAUGCCGCCCAACUAGAUCAGCCACUCAAGGCCUUCUCGCAAUCCCGCCAACCAAAACAGCUAGGUUGGUGGGUACUAGGGAGAGAGCCUUUUCUGUGGUGGCCCCCACUCUCUGGAACUCCCUCCCAUGUGACCUUCGACAUGCCCCUUCCCUAGAGGUAUUCCGCAAGGCCCUGAAGACGUGGCUUUUCCAACAGGCCUUUCAGGCCUUUGAGGUCCUUGGGAAGGGUAAAUCUUCAUGAUUUUACCAUCUAUCAUAUGCUGCUAAUAUAAGUGCUUUUAUAUGUAUUGAUGACUGUCCAGUAUUUUUAUCUACUGUUAUUAACAUGACUGCAUUUGAUAUUGUUGUAUUUUAUCUCAUUUUAAUGUACGUCGCCUAGAGUGGCUAUUUGCCAGAUAGGCGACAAACAAAUUAAUUAUUAUUAUUAUUAUUAUAUUGACCAGGAAUCAUGAUAAUGGUUGAGUCUUCAUUUUCAGUGGUAAGAAGUAAAUGUAUCAAAGAAUCUGAAAUCUGCCUGAAUAAAGUUGCAUCCUGCAUGAGCAUCUCAAGAAAUUAGGAAAAACAGUUUGAAUAGCAGUGCAAUAAAAAUGUAAAACUUCAUUUAAUUAAAUGUUUACAUCUAGUGACCUUGACUUCGCUAUAUUGAAAGUAAGACAUUCAUUUUCAGGUAAUAAUCACAACUCUGUUCUGAUGUGACACUUGAGAUUAAAGAGUGAAGAAGUUUCAAAAUUUUAAAAAUGACUAUUUCAGUUUAAGCUGUUCUGUUCUUUAUGAUGAAAGUUUGCUAAAUAAAGUUAAUUGGUGGAACUAAGUAUAUGGUGCACUAAAAUGUUUUCAGAGUA